AGUGCUCGCCGAGCGACUACGCCGCGGGUCCGAGCUCGGGGCCCCAGCAGCCCCGCAACCCGCGCCCGCUACGCCUCCGCUCUCUGCCUGCAGCUCGGCCCCGUGCUACCCGCCUCGACGGGCCCGAGCCGGGAUGGGGUAGGGGCAGCACCACCAACUCGGGCGAUGGGUCGCCCCCUGGGCACCGAGCAGCCCCCCGAGGCCUAACUGAUCGCGAGGACCGGCUGAGGAGCGCCGCCUGGAUGUCAAGCGGAUGCCCCAGUGCCUCCUAGCGGACUCAGUGGGGACCAUGGCUUCCCUGAUGCCCCUCUCCCCUUACCUAAGUCCCACGGUCCUCCUGCUGGUCAGUUGUGACCUGGGCUUUGUGCGAGCAGACCGGCCUCCAUCUCCUGUGAAUGUGACAGUCACUCACCUAAGAGCCAACUCGGCCACUGUGUCCUGGGACGUCCCAGAAGGCAACAUCGUCAUUGGCUACUCCAUUUCCCAGCAACGACAGAAUGGCCCUGGACAGCGUGUGAUCCGGGAGGUGAACACCACCACCCGAGCCUGUGCCCUCUGGGGCCUGGCUGAAGACAGCGACUACACGGUGCAGGUCAGGAGCAUUGGCCUUCGGGGAGAGAGCCCCCCAGGGCCCCGGGUGCACUUUCGAACUCUCAAGGGUUCUGACCGGCUACCUUCAAACAGCUCGAGCCCAGGUGACAUCACAGUGGAGGGUCUGGAUGGAGAGCGACCACUGCAGACAGGGGAAGUGGUCAUCAUUGUGGUGGUGUUGCUCAUGUGGGCUGCUGUAAUCGGGCUGUUCUGCCGUCAGUAUGAUAUCAUCAAGGACAAUGACUCCAACAACAACCCCAAGGAGAAGGGGAAGGGGCCAGAGCAGAGUCCUCAGGGAAGGCCGGUGGGGACAAGACAGAAAAAGUCACCGUCCAUCAACACCAUAGACGUAUGAGUGAAGAACCGGAACCAGAAGAGAGAUGCACUAACAACCUGGGGAUGGGGAUGGGGUCAGGGAGAGCCUAAGAUGGUGAUCUGCCCAAGACUGAAGGAUCCCACAGUCUCCCAGAAGAUAAUGACACUCCCACAAUCUCAGGCCUGGUACCCAUCCUCUUUCCACUGUGAACAGGGCCAGAAGGUUCUUGGACAAACUGGAGCUGACUGUAAAGUAUGCUGAAGACUUUUCCCCGCCUUCUGUCCUCUGACUACAAGGGCCCCUCACACCACCACCAACUUGACAGGAGCAAACUCUCAUUUUAAGGUGUUUGCUUUGAUUCUCCAGCCUGGACUGGGUGGAGAGGGGCCAGAAAAGGGUAAAGAAAACUAGAGCCCUAGUUCCUUUUGCUUUGUUGGGUGAGAAAGGGGAGAAAGGAUAUAAAUUCUUCCUGCACCAGUGGAAAUGAAGGUUAUGUCACAUAAGAAGGUCAAUAGCCUUUUUAACUUCACAUCAGCAGCCCAGCUCCUCACCCUUUAUUCCUUUGAAUCCUCCAUCAACCCUGAGCUAAUUUUCAGAAAAGGAGUGAACAGAGAGUCUUGGAGAAAACGAAAGAACAGCUACACUAAUGGAUCCGUUGGUGCCACACGCUCCUCCUGUGUGUUCCUGUUCCUAUUCUUCCCAGCCCUUGCUUUCCCUUUUGUCUCUGUCUCUGUCCAUUCUGUCAAGGUCAAUAAUAAUUGUAAAGCAUAAAUGACUUUAUGUUCACUUCCUGCCACCAUAUCCAGAGGAGGAUUCUGGAAAUAAAACUGAAGUAUUCAAACUCCCCUGUCAAAAGAAUUAUAAUUUAGGCUCUGGGGCCUAUUUGUUUCCUGUGAAAACAGGGGCAGUCCUCUACUCUUUCCUGAGUUCCAAUUGGUUUGUGCCAGUGAAAUACCAAUUGACAUUUGCAACCACAGUGGGGUAAAGGCUUCGGAACCCAGAAUCUGUCUGGACAUCAUAUGCUACACUUUCUGGAGGGUUACAGGUCUUCUCAACCUCAGAUAUUUCCAGAGAAGGCUUAUGACUAACUCUGCUUUUCUGAAUCUUGAUCUCUCUGGUAUGUUACAAGAAAUUAAAGCAAGAAUUCUGAAAGAGACCCUGACCCAAACAAAGCUCAGUAAGUCAAUAUCUUUUCUACUUAACCAAGCUCUAACCCCAGGUAUCACAAGACAAUCUUAAUUUACAGAUGAGCCAGUUUCUGAUUUGCUCUCCACCCUGAACCAUGAAAGUAUCCUGAUCUAAUCAGCAGUCUUUAAUCCACCAUUACCCAAUUUGGAAGCAGAUUACCUGA